rnacentral:pre_miRNA from 1 species
CUCUUUGGUUAUCUAGCUGUAUGAGUGAAUUUUUAAAAGCCUAAUCAUAAAGCUAGCUUACCGAAGUU